rnacentral:rRNA from 1 species
CCUACGGGGGGCAGCAGUGGGGAAUAUUGGACAAUGGGGGCAACCCUGAUCCAGCCAUGCCGCGUGUGUGAAGAAGGCCCUCGGGUUGUAAAGCACUUUCAGUGAGGAAGAACGCCUGGUGGUUAAUACCCAUCAGGAAAGACAUCACUCACAGAAGAAGCACCGGCUAACUCCGUGCCAGCAGCCGCGGUAAUACGGAGGGUGCGAGCGUUAAUCGGAAUUACUGGGCGUAAAGCGCGCGUAGGUGGCUUGAUAAGCCGGUUGUGAAAGCCCCGGGCUCAACCUGGGAACGGCAUCCGGAACUGUCAAGCUAGAGUGCAGGUGAGGAAGGUAGAAUUCCCGGUGUAGCGGUGAAAUGCGUAGAGAUCGGGAGGAAUACCAGUGGCGAAGGCGGCCUUCUGGACUGACACUGACACUGAGGUGCGAAAGCGUGGGUAGCAAACAGGAUUAGAUACCCGGGUAGUC